rnacentral:rRNA from 1 species
UACGAAGGGGGCUAGCGUUGUUCGGAAUUACUGGGCGUAAAGCGCACGUAGGCGGAUCUGUAAGUCGGGGGUGAAAUCCCCAGGCUCAACCUGGGAACUGCCUUCUAGACUGCAAGUCUUGAGAUCAGGAGAGGCGAGUGGAAUUCCGAGUGUAGAGGUGAAAUUCGUAGAUAUUCGGAGGAACACCAGUGGCGAAGGCGACUCGCUGGACUGAUACUGACGCUGAGGUGCGAAAGCGUGGGGAGCAAACAGG